UACGUAGGGUGCGAGCGUUAAUCGGAAUUACUGGGCGUAAAGCGUGCGUAGGUGGUUUGUUAAGUCUGAUGUGAAAGCCCUGGGCUCAACCUGGGAAUUGCAUUGGAUACUGGCAGGCUAGAGUGCGGUAGAGGGCAGCGGAAUUCCCGGUGUAGCGGUGAAAUGCGUAGAGAUCGGGAGGAACACCGGCGGCGAAGGCGGCUGCCUGGACCAGUC
rnacentral:rRNA from 1 species